rfam:Dipodomys ordii contig_34681, whole genome shotgun sequence.
UGGGAGGUAGCUCAGUGGUAGAGCGCUUGCCUUGUAUGUAUGAGGCCCUGGGCUCGAUUUCUCAGUGCCACAU